rnacentral:rRNA from 1 species
GGAAUCUUCCACAAUGGACGCAAGUCUGAUGGAGCAACGCCGCGUGAGUGAAGAAGGGUUUCGGCUCGUAAAGCUCUGUUGUAAGAGAAGAACGUGUGUGAGAGUGGAAAGUUCACACAGUGACGGUAACUUACCAGAAAGGGACGGCUAACUACGUGUCAG